rnacentral:rRNA from 1 species
UUCCUAGUACGGCGAGUGAGAGGAAGAGCUCAAAGUUGGAACCUGUUUGGCCUAGCUAAACCGGANNNNNNNNNAGAAGUGUUUUCCAGGCAAGCCGAGUAAAUAAGCCCUUUGGAACAGGGCAUCAUAGAGGGUGAGAAUCCCGUCUUUGGCUUGAGCAUUUGCCUUUUGUGAUACGCUUUCAAAGAGUCAGGUUGUUUGGGAAUGCAGCCUAAAUUGGGUGGUAAAUCUCACCUAAAGCUAAAUAUUGGCGAGAAACCGAUAGCGAACAAGUACCGUGAGGGAAAGAUGAAAAGAACUUUGAAAAGAGAGUUAAACAGUAUGUGAAAUUGUUAAAAGGGAACCGUUUGGAGCCAGACUGGCUUGUCUGUAAUCAAUCUAGGCUUCGGCCUGGAUGCACUUGCAGGCUAUGCCUGCCAACGACAAUUUGACUUGAGGGAAAAAACUAAGGGAAAUGUGGCCCACUUGUGGGUGUUAUAGUCCCUUAGAAAAUACCUUGGGUUGGAUUGAGGAACGCAGCGAAUGCUUUUUGGCGAGUUUUCCAGGANGGUUUUCUGAGGUACUACGGUAUCAAGGUUGAUCUUUUUGGUUAUACUUCUNNUCGCUUAGGUUGUU